GACGAACGCUGGCGGCGUGCCUAAUACAUGCAAGUCGAACGCAGUUGCGAACGGGUGAGUAACGCGUAGGUAACUGACUCAUAGCGGGGGAUAACUAUUGGAAACGAUAGCUAAUACCGCAUUCUGUGAGCUGGAUCUGCGUUGUAUUAGCUAGUUGGUGGGGUAAAGGCUCACCAAGGCGACGAUACAUCGCCGGCCUGGGAGGGGUAUCGGCCAAAACGGGAAUGAGGAAAGGGCCAAAACCCUACGGGAGGGAACAGUAGGGAAAUUUCGGAAAUGGGCGGAAGUCUGAACGAGCAAAGCCGGGGUAGUGAAGAAGGGUUUCGGAUUGGAAAGCUCUGUUGGUAGAGAAACGGUAACUAACCAGAAAGGGACGGCUAACUACGUGCCAGCAGCCGCGGUAAUAC
rnacentral:rRNA from 1 species